rnacentral:rRNA from 1 species
CGAGCGACAGAUAAGGAGCUUGCUCCUUUGACGUUAGCGGCGGACGGGUGAGUAACACGUGGGUAACCUACCUAUAAGACUGGAAUAACUCCGGGAAACCGGGGCUAAUGCCGGAUAACAUUUAGAACCGCAUGGUUCUAAAGUGAAAGAUGGUUUUGCUAUCACUUAUAGAUGGACCCGCGCCGUAUUAGCUAGUUGGUAAGGUAACGGCUUACCAAGGCAACGAUACGUAGCCGACCUGAGAGGGUGAUCGGCCACACUGGAACUGAGACACGGUCCAGACUCCUACGGGAGGCAGCAGUAGGGAAUCUUCCGCAAUGGGCGAAAGCCUGACGGAGCAACGCCGCGUGAGUGAUGAAGGUCUUCGGAUCGUAAAACUCUGUUAUUAGGGAAGAACAAAUGUGUAAGUAACUAUGCACGUCUUGACGGUACCUAAUCAGAAAGCCACGGCUAACUACGUGCCAGCAGCCGCGGUAAUACGUAGGUGGCAAGCGUUAUCCGGAAUUAUUGGGCGUAAAGCGCGCGUAGGCGGUUUCUUAAGUCUGAUGUGAAAGCCCACGGCUCAACCGUGGAGGGUCAUUGGAAACUGGGAAACUUGAGUGCAGAAGAGGAAAGUGGAAUUC